CAUAUUGCAGCACGGAAAGAACACAGGGUGCUAAAACAGACUAGCAGACCUGGUGCUUACGGUAAGUAUACAAUCCUUACGUUAACGGUAUCCAGAUAAUUUUGAAGUUAGUAUCGUUUAUCAAUAAAAAAUAAACAUGAUAAAGCAACGAGAUGAUUCCAGUUUAUAAAUCUAUUUUACCCCGAUUCAAUUUCGGUCUUGCUGCAAAUCGUGAAAAUCAAUUAAAUGCUUUCCGAAUUAACAACUUUAAACAGAAAUGGUCCAAUUCUCAACAAGUAUUAAUUUCUUUCUCUAUAGGUAGAAUUCGUUUGAAAAUAUUUGCUCUUAUUCCCGUUAAUAAAAUCAAGCUGAAGCAUAUCCCUGAAAUAUCAUCUCAUUUUUCAAGUUUAUAUUUCAAGGAGUUCCAAGUCUUUGGAAAUUAAAUCUAAACUAGCUAGCUUAAUGGUUUCACACUAUCAAUUUUGGGGCCCUUUAUAGCUUGUUAAUCGAUGUGAGCCAAGGCUCCGUGUUGAAGGCCGUACAUUUACCUACAAUGGUUUACUUUUAUAAAUUGUUAUCUGGAUGGAGAGUUAUCUCAUUGGCACUAACACCACAUCUUUCUAUAUUUAUAAGCUAACUAAACCUUUAAAUAUGUAUGUGCAGAAACUUUCGGUGUGUUAUUUCUAGAUCGCGUAUCGGUCAUACUAGAAUAACAAAUGAUUAUCUUCAACAACAAAAAGCCCCCCUCCCCCACGGGUAACUGGGAAAACGAAAAUUGUAUCAAUUUAAAACUAUUCUAAUUUUUAUCACGUUAUCUUUGUGUUGAAUUUUAUUUGUUAAUUAUCAAUUUGCUUUAGUCUAGAAUUCUAGUUUAUUGAAGGACAUUUUGUUUGAUUUUAAUUAGCUCUCGGAGCGAUAUAGCCCUUUUGUUCUCAUGCGUCGUGAAGUAAAUAGCAAUCGUUCAACCAAUACAAAUAGGGCAAUAUUAAAACGUAUCUUUUAAUUAAUUUUAGACGAAAAAAAAAACAAUUUUUAAUAAUAACAUUUGAUGUCUGUUAAACUAUAAUACGUUAUCCUGAUUGGCUAACUGCACAUCACGUGUUAUUCCCGAAGCAAUUGCAUUGUAGUUCUUUUUGUAACUUUAUAGGGUUGUAUAAGCGUUGACCGUGAUUCCGCGCUUCAUUCAAAAUGUACUGUAAUUUGGACUGCCAAUGGAAAAUGAGGGUAUGUUGGAUAGUGACAGAAAUUUUGCCUUGCAACAGCCAACCAACGGACCCAUGAAACAGUUGUUGCAAGGGUUCUUUACGUGCAAAGAGCGUGCUACUCUCAUUACACGAGUCUUCGGAUUUAACGUCCAGUAGUCUGACCGGACGAGAGUGGUCUCUAAAUUUUUUUGAAAGAUGUAUUUACUUUGUAUUAAGUUUUAUUCAUUAACAUUUUCUCUAAUGAUUUGUUUGUAUCUUUUUUCUUUAAUCAUAAAUGAGGUGUGAUUCGGUAUAUUUCUCCAUAUCCCUGUCUUGUUAAAAGAGGUAAUACAUUUUUCAUCAUUUCAUUACCGUAUUUACAUAUCAAUUAAAAUAUAUAUUAAUCGAUUCUAAUUUCAGAAAUAUCCUUAAUUUGUUAACAUAUUUGAAUUAGAUAUCUUGCGAUAUAGACUCCACCGCCGGAAGCAAAGAACCCAAUUUUUACACUGUUAUUUACUGGUUACCUGCUUUGGUAACUGUGUAACCUUAACGUUUCAAAAUAUUUUAUAAGACCAUUAAAUAAAAAGAAUGAUUGCAUUCAGACAUCCACAUUCAUAUACGACUCAGAAAAUUAAGUGCAUUGAAAGGCAGGGUUAAUUUCUACAACUGUCAAAUUCAAGGGAAUAUUUUUUAUGCCUACUUUCGUAUGCAACCGGAUGUGACGUAUCAUGAUUUGGUGGUAUUACACCUCUAAGGCGACUUGAAGCACAUACGAACCAAUCAAUCAAGUUUUUACCGAAAGAUCGAAGGAUGGAGACAGUUAAUUGUGUUUUUGUUGAAAUAAUGAAUUUGUUGUAUUAGUUUGGUUGUCCAAUUUUUUUAAAAGGAACACGUCUUAUUUUAAUAUUUAAAAAAACUCUCGUUGCGAUAAAGCAUAUGCUGCUGCGGCUUGUAGCAAUUACCAAUCAAUCAACCCGGUAGUAUUAUAAUACUUCAGCCUCAAUCAUGUCUGAGCCUUUGCAGAGAAAAUCAACUGUAUAGAUUGAAUUAUAUUCCCGUAUGAAUAUGAAUAAAAUAUUUAAAAUCAAACGUUAAGAAACCAACAAGUAAUGAACUAUGACAGUGCCUCAUUUUACGAAGCCUAUAUUAAGUUAAGCGCAAACAUACUAUUUUAUCUCACCUUUGUCAUUUUAUUCUAUUUUAGUUCCGAUAUACGAACAAAGUGGGAUACAAUCUAUGUGGGACUUAAAUACUAUGAAAAUCUCCGUUUGGUGGAGGAACGACGUUUAAAUUAUCGACUUAAUACCUCCACGUUUCUCAAGUGUCAUAUUGACUUUGUCAAGGACUUGCUUGGGUUUUCUAUUUUAUAUUCAUAUUUUUAUAUUCCUAUUAUUUCGCUUAAUUCAUCACUCGAACUAUGGCUAAUUUGAAACGUUAAGUGUUUCGCCUUCAAGAUGUUUUUGUAAGAACUGUUAAUUGUACUUUGUUACUCUAAAUAAAUAGUACUCAAUGUUUUUAAUUUAAAAUUUCACAUGAUUAUAUAAUCCUUCCGAACGGCUCUUUCAGUGAAUAAAACUAGAGGCUCUUAAGAGCCUGUGUCGCUCACCUUGGUCUAUGCGCAUUUUCAACAAAAGACACAGAUGGAUUAAUGACAAAAUUGUGUUUUGGUGAUGGUGAUGUGUUUGUAAAUCUUACUUUACUGAACAUUCUUGCUACUUACAAUUAUCUUCAUCUCAAAUGAACUUGGUCCAUUAGUUACAGAGGGAAAUAUUUUGUUACAAAAUUUAUGAAAAUUGUUAAAAAGUGACUGUAAAAGGCUGUAACUCCUUAAGGGAUCAACUGACCAUUUUUGUCAUGUUGACUUAUUUGUAGAUCUUACUUAGCUGAACAUUAUUGCUGUUUCUUUAUCUACAAUAAUAUUCAAGAUAAUAACCAAAAACGGCAAAAUUUGCUUAAAAAUUACCAAUUCAGGGACAGCAACCCAACAACAGAUUGUCCAAUUUGUCUGAAAAUUUCAGGGUAGCUAGAUCUUGACUUCAUAAACAAUUUAUCCCCACGUCAGAGUUGCUCUAAAUGCUUUGGUUUCAGAGUUAUAUGUUCUAUUUUUAGCCAUGGUGGCCAUCUUGGUUCGUUGGCUGGGUCACACCACACAUUUUUUUAACUAAAAACCCCAAUGAUGAUUGUGUCCAAGUAUUGUUAAAUUUGUCCCAGUAGUUUCAGAGGGGAAGAUUUUUGUAAAAGAUAAUAAAAAUUUACAAAAAAUUUAUAAAAAAUGACUAUAAAGGGCAAUAACUCCUUAAGGGGUCAACCGACCAUUUUGGUCAUGUUAACUUAUCUGUAGAUCUUAAUUUGCUGAUCAUUAUUGCUGUUUACAGUUUAUUUUUCUGCCUAUAAUAUAAUUAAAGAUAUUAACCAAAAACUACAAAAUUUCCUUAAAAUUGCCAAUUCUGAGACAGCAACCCAACAACCAAUUGUUCAAUUUGUCUGAAAAUUUCAGGGUAGCUAGAUCUUGAUUUGAUAAACAAUUUAACCCCUUAGUCAGAUUUCUCUAAAUGGUUCGGUUUCAGAGUUAUAAGCCAAAAUCUACAUUUUAACCCCAUGUUCUAUUUUUAGCCAGGGCGACCAUCUUGGUUGGUUGGCCGGGUCACCGGACACAUUUUUUAAACUACAUACCCCAAUGAUGAUUGUGGCCAAGUUUGGUUAACUUUGGCCCAGUAGUUUCAGAGGAUAAGAUUUUUGUAAAGGUUAACGACGACGGACGCCGAGUGAUGAGAAAAGCUCACUUGGCCUUUUUGGCCAGGUGAGCAAAAAAUGUUCCAUCAACAGUUCUAAUUCUCUCAGAUUCCCCUAUUGGCCGUUGUUUAAAUGGUAGUAAGUAAAUGUGCUUAAUGAAUCAAGAAAGAGACGUCUGACACAUUUUAAACUAAGACAAUAACAAUCAAAACUAAGGAAUAAACACAGAGUCCAAAAAACAAAGGAAAUUUGCACCAACAGUUAUAAAUAAGAAAUAAGAAACAACACGAACUCUACGAAAACCGGAAGUGAAAUCAGGUGCUCCGGAAUGGUAAGCAUUUCCUGUACCGUAUACGGCACCCGUCGUGUAAUUUCUUUGUUCAGUUCGGUAAUAAUGUAAGGUUAUUAUGACUGAGGAAGAAUAUUAGAAUAUGAUUUCUGACACACUUUUGUCAUAAUGGCCAAUCAGCUCAUGAUGACGACCGAAAAAAUUCUUGAGUGAUGACCUUAAUUUGAUUGAUUCAUACACCUGUCUUAACAACUUUUGAAAAAGCAGUAUUCCUCGUACAACAAAAUCAACGUACUUUGAGCUAGCUCUAGAGUAACGUAUCAAUUGAGACACAUAUACUACAUAUAUUAGAAUAUGCGUUUGUUAUAAAUUUUGGUAUUCAACCUACCAUCAGUUGUCAUACAGAGAAAAAAGUUUAAAUAUGAAGCAGCUUUAUCUAUGUCGGACGUAUCUUUAAUUUCAAGUUCACUUGGAUAUAUCAAAUGUAAAUGAUGACUGAAUCUUUUAUUAUUAAGAGACAGUACAUCAUCAAUAUACCGAAAGGGGGCAUUAAAAGACUUGGCUAAUUUCUUUUCUCCUUUCUGUACAAGCCCUUGUACAUUCUGUUUCAUAAGAAUACAAAAACAAAUCUACAAGUAGAUGAGCGCAAUUGGCACCCGUUGGAUUCCAAUAGUCUGUUGGAUGACCAAACCUCCAAAUUCACAUAUUAAGAAGUCUUGUGUCAUAAAUCUAAUAUAUGGAAACGUUAUCCUUGACAACUAAAAAUAGCCUGUAUUGAAAUCAAAAGCAAAAACACACUCGUGGGUCAGUUUUUGUCAAAACUAAAAACGAGAAGGAUCAAGCAUAUCGUUUUUGUGUACUCAACGUAUCCGACGAACGAGUUUUGUGUAUUAACAUGAAUGAAUAAUUUUUUAUAAAUAUUUUUUUCUUAAUCAUUGCCAGUUUCAUGUGAAUUUAACGACCAUAAUCAAUUCCAUAUUCGUUAUUCAACGAUAUUGUUGACCUUGUAUGAUCAUCACACAUAGUAUCAAUAACAUUGGCCUAGAUAUAUCUGCUAUCAUAAUAACUUUUAAAGAUUAAAAACAAGAUAAGAUACGGCCGACGUAUAAAAGGGACUGGAUCAAAGUCUACAGGUAAUUACACACUUUUAACUACGGUGGAAGCUGUUUUUUCACAAAUAUGUGUGUUUCAAAUAUCACAAGUAAGUCUUAUACAUUAAUCGUAUUGAAGGGACUUGUACUUAUUAAACGUGCCUUUUUUUAUCAAGAAAUAAUCUAUAGUAUUAUAAAAUUUGCUAGCUGCUUAUCCUAGUUUCAAAUAUACCAUUAGUAUAUUCGUUUGGUUUUUUUAAGUUUCAUCACAAGCAAAUUUAUAUAUUUAUCCAGGUUCAUGUGUUUUUGUCACCUUAUACUUCAAUACUAUAAAAAAAAUUCUAAUAUGAAAAAAAACAAAUCUGGUUUCCCUAUCUUCCCUUUUUACUUUAACAUUAAUUAUUUAUAAACUACAAAAACAUGUCGCAGAAAAAGGCUAAUUAGUCCAGUCAAUCUAGCAUACAUUUAACCCUUACCUUGAGGUUAUUGCAACACAAGAUUUUUAAGUUUUAAUCUUUAGCAUUAUAACCCAUAAAUAGACAAAAAGUCCCAUCAAAUCUAACUUGAGGAAAACUAAAAAAUCAUGAUUAUAACAUUCCUAUUGAGAUUUACAUUGAUAUGAGAGAUAACUCUGCAAAAAAGGCAGAAAAAUCAAUAAAAAUUGAUACAAAAUUAUAACGUUAUCGAUUCUAUGGAACAGAUUGCGUUGCUUCCUGAUAUUUUAGCCGUGUUUAGAGUAUAACAAAUAACUCUAAAGGUGUCUUCAUAUCUUUUAUCAAGCUACAACCUAGAUUUCAUAAUUCAUUAGUUGACCAUUUGAUAGAUUUUUCAGCAUGUCAAGGUAGAGAAUCUCAAAUUAAAUUAAAUUGAUUAAGCAUAUGUAUUCCUCUUUUUGUGGUUUAAAGUUAUCUUUAUAAAACAAGGUAGAUGCCAAACAAAUAUAACUUACAGAUAUAAACAAUACCAAAUGUUCACAUUAUUAUUUAAAAAUGUCCAGAAAGCCAUAAAUUUUCAAUUUCAUUAAUGAAAAGUUACAAAAAAUAAUAACUAAAUCCAUAUCACUUAAGUUUGUACAUUUCAUGAGCAGAAGAUUAUAUAAUAUAGUCAAAUAUGAACUUAUUACCCAUCAAAGGAUCAUAUUUUACAUGAAUUUUAAGAAAAUCAACCAUUAGGUGACAAAAGACUAAUUUUUGCGGAGAUUUCUCCCUUUCAAUUGAUAAUUUCUAUAAGAAAUUCAAAGGACAAGGUACGAUAAGGCCGGUUUUUUGCGUCAAAAUUACGUCGAUUAAGACAACAAAAAAAGUGCUAACGAAUUUCUAAUAAAGAAAUUUCUGGGUCAUGUUGGUGCAGGCACUUCAAAACUAAAAACAGUACAAAACACCUGAAAAGUGAAUAAUAAUUACAUUAUUUGAAUAAUAACAGUUUAAUGAAGUUCAUUAUAACAAACUUCAAGCAUUAGGAAAUAUUUUAACAUAAUAAGUAGCUUUCAAAAACAAAAUUUGAAAAAUGAGAAAAUAGGGGGGUAAAAAACAGGCCUUGAAUUAUUCUUUAAGUUAGAUUUGAUGGGACUUUUGUCUGUGUAUGUUCAGGGCUUAAUGUUAUAGAUUAAAACGACAACAUUUUCUGUUGCAAUUAGUUUGACGACGGGUGCCACAUGUGGAGCAGGAUCUGCUUACCCUUCCGGAGCACUGAGAUCAACCCUAGUUUUUGGUGGGGUUCGUGUUGUUUGUUCUUUAGUUUUUUCUAUGUUGUGUCAUGCGUAAUAUUGUUUUUCUGUUUGUCUUCUUCAUUUUUAGCCAUGGCGUUGUCAGUUUGUUUUAGAUUUUUAGCGUUUGACUGUCCUUUUGGUAUCUUUCGUCCCUCUUUUAAACUUAUGUUUUAGUGGACUAAAUGGGUUUUUGCGUAACUAAAUGUUUUUUUCCCCUCAUAGUUCUGAAAAAAGACAUGAUUGCCGAUCAACAAAUUAAAUAAAAAAAACAAUAUUUUUUUUAUUUGAAAGUGAAUAUUAAAACAAUUCGACGUGUCAAUAUAUAAAUCGAUUAAGCGCAAUAUUUCAAAAUUAUGCUCAUGCAUACUUAUAAUAAUGCAUAUUUGUCUAAUUUCUGUCAAUAAUGUAUGGUGUUAUUUUGCAGCGACACCAUGUAGAAUGGUCACGAUAUAUUUGUAGUAUUAGACACAAUCUACUCUAUACUUUAUUGUUUGGCCUAUCUAGUUAAAAAAUAGUACCCCAUUAUUCUUUAUGACUUCAUCUCCAAUUGAUGACUGGGGAAUCACAAUAUGGUCAUCAUUGGUUUUAAUUUUUAUCACGUUGUUUAUUACUGUUGUUUUUUAUUUGUAAAUAAUCAAUUUGCUUUAGUCUAGAAUUUUAGUAUAUUGAAGCACUUUUUGUCUAAUUUUAAAAAUGUGCUUUAAAUUGUAAAAAUAUUCGAAUUAGCUCUCGCCGCGAUAUAGCAUUUUUGUGCUAAUGCGACGUAAAGCAACCAACAAUCAAUCAAUCAUUGGUUUUCGUUCGAACGGCAGUAAAACCCUUGUUAAAGUAGGAUUCGAUUCAGUUGUGCGGGAUGUACAUGUACAAAAUCACAGCUACAUCCGGUGAGAAUUGGCACGAUAUAUAUGAUGCCUCUUGAGAAAGCGUUCUACGCUUACUGUAUGAUUUGAACCCUUGCAACAACUCUUUUUGGUAAUUCGUAGGUGGCCUGUUAAAAGGAAAAAUGAAUCACUCUAUCCAAUUUACCCUUCUUUUCCAGUGGUAGUAUAAAUUUCAACUUUCACUACGCCACUAUCACAGGAACAAUUGUGUUUUUUUUUUUUUGUAUUCAUCUCUCAUCCUGAACAUGAAAAUAAUCUGUUUGCUAGUUAGUCCGAUAUUACUCUGACGUCUAACGGCUGUUUUGCCAGACACGCUGGGGCCGUGGGACGUCAGAGCUCGUCCCAUAUCAAAAAGUGGAUAUUUGCCCACCCAAAAUAGAUGCACUGCUUCGUCGCUUCUGUUGCCGACUGACGGCCUUGGAAUUUUCUAAAUCGGGCAUCAAAUUGAUCAUUUUUCAUUUAUCUCUUCAUUUAUGUAAGUUUCACCUACCUGCCAACUUUUAUUUUUCCAUAUUUAUGCCAUUCGGCACCAGAAGCGACGAAGCAGCGCAUCUAUUUUGAUACGGGACGAGCUCUAUUCAAAUAAUUCUCUAUACUGUAAACAUUAAUCAGACGCCGAUCAGCUGACACUUUUGUCAAUAACUGCACCUUAAAUGCGUUAAAUAAUACAUUAGAAGCGAAUGGUUACAUGUGGUAAAACGCAAUAACUUUUCUGAUUUGUCAUACGACGUUGACAUUGAAAUGGUUAUCUUAUAUACGAUAAACUGGGAAAAAAAUAUAAUGAAUGUAGCAAACCAAUUUAUGAUUUCUAAAAAAGAUAGGGGAAGAAGUAGCAUGAGUGUCGUUGAGUCAAAUAUCUACAAAGGUAAACAAAAACGAUGUACACAAUUGCAUACCACCAUAUGACCGUAAACACACAACCUAUAUCGUUUUCUAAGUAAUGAAAGGCUUGGGAUGGAAAAAAAUGAGAUCCAAUUUAAAAAAAAAAAACAACGGCCUGGUUAAAACUUAAACAUAAAUUAAAACUGAACUUGCUGUUUGUUUUUUUCCCAAUAUUUAUGUUGUAAAAAUGAGUAAUAUAAAAGUCAAUUGCAUUUAUAUUUUUCAUUCAGGACUUAGAAAAUACAAGAGCCAUAUCAUACUGGCAAAUCUAUUGUGAGUAUUUUACAAAGUUAAAUGUGUUGGGCUGUGUUGAAUCCAAACUUUUACAAGGGUAUAUGAGUAUGUUCAUCAUUGUUGUUUUUGAUUUUAUAUCCGUUAGAAAAAUAAAUAAAGUGGUGACUGUAUAAUGAAUGAUAUGGUAAAUUAAUACGCUAACCAUUCGUGUGAUUAAAUUGUCACAUCUGAUGCCUAGUGUAAGUAUUGUAGGAAUAAAAAGAAGGGUAGGUGCAGAUAGAAUAAAAAAAAGGGUAGGUGCAGAUAUUGUCACACUACAUUUAUGAUGGUAAUCUUGUGCCAAUUUUGCAGAACAUGCCAAUCAUAUUGAUUGAUUCGAAACCAUACACAUGUCCGGUGUCCGUCUGUCUGUCCGUCUGUCCGGCGUAAACAUAUCGCACCGUAACUUGAGAACGACUUAUCCAAAUUUCAUGAAACUUAAUAUAGUUGUUUCUUAUGAUGGUCAAAUGAUCUGUAUACUUUUUGGUGAAAAUUGGAUUUAAACUUUUUGAUUUACGGCACUUUGUAACUAAAACAGGGAUGUGUUUUUUUUCACAUGUCGCACUGUAUCUCAAAAACGAUUCUUGAUUAUGGCUUAAAAAUUUAAACACUUCUUAGUUAUAUUAAUCUUAAUAUCUGUAUACUUUUUGGUGAUGAUUUAAAAUUUAAUUUUUUGAGUUAUUGAGUAUUUUGUAAAAAAAGGGGGAGGUUUUUUUUACAUGCCGCGGCAUAUCUCAAAGUCGAUUGAUGAUUAUUGCUACAAACUUUACACAUGCCUUUGUUAUAUUAAUCUAAAGAUCUGUAUACUUUUUGAUGAUGAUUAAAAAUUUCAUUUUUGAGUGAUUGAGUAUUUUGUUAAACACGGGAGGUUUUUUUUACAUGUCGCGUCGUAUCUCAAAAAUAAUUUAUGAUUAUUGCUUAAAACUUUACACACUUCUUUGUUAUAUUAAUCUAAAGAUCUGUAUAGUUUUUGGUUUUGAUUAUUGCAUAUAACUUCCACAUAAGACGUCGGGCGUAUCAUGCGCUCAUGGCGCAGUUGUUUAUUAAAAAUCAACAGACAACAUUAACUCAUUUGUACAACAUGUGAUGUAGCAUUAAUCAAUUGAGUGCAAACUAUAAAAAUAUCAUCCUUUUUUAAUGUGUUCUAUAUUUGAUUUAGCCCUUAUUACUUAAUUGAGAAACAUGAUAUAUCGUUUGUAUUCUAUUGUAGGUUCGAAAUGAACAUUGUGAAAUAACGUCUCGAUGGGAGACGAUUAAGCCAUGAAAAUCUUCGUCUGGUGGAGGAACGACGUUUAUAUGACCUACAAAAUAUUUCCACGUUUCACAAGUGUCGUAUCGACUUUGUCAAAGACUUGCUUGGUUUUUUAUUUCUUAUUAUAUUUUUAAAAAGUUAUUAUAGUCCAAUGUCAUGUUUAAUAUAGUAUAAAUUAUAUAAUUUUUUCAACUGCAAUUUUACAGAUAAAAUAUUUGUUAUUAACAGCAUUAUUCUAUGUUUGCCGGUCUUAUUUUUUUACUUUUCUCAGCACUGGCCUCCUGUAAAUAUUUGAUCGUUGUGAAAAGAAACACACAAAAGCGUUGAAUGAUUAUGUACAUACUAUACAUUAAAAUGUUGAACAAGUUUUAAGUUAAACCGACCGAGGCGUAUGUUGCUUGGCAACAAUAUAUAUACAUAAAUACACGUGUAGAAAGACAUAUUUAAACGUGCUCAAUAUCUUUUAAAUCACAAGAGCACAAAGAGAAGACUUAAAAGGCGUCAAAUUUGAAAAAAAAGCAAUACUUUGAAUAAACGAUAUGUUAUACACAAAAAGAAAUUGAGAGUGGAAAAAUGUGAAUGGGGAAUAUGUGAAGGAAACAACAACCCGACCUUACAGCCGAAAAUCCAACAAACGGAGGAAGGUCUCAGCUGGCCUCCUCAUAAACAUGUAUAUAAGUUCAGUAAAAAUGGACGUCAUACUCAACUAAAAGCAAAAAGCAUACCUACAGUGAAACUUAGUUUAAAAAGAAGCCCCAGUCCGAUGCCAG
rnacentral:lncRNA from 1 species